UACAGAGGGGGCAAGCGUUGUUCGGAAUUACUGGGCGUAAAGGGCGCGUAGGUGGCCUUCUAAGUUGAACGUGAAAUCCCUGGGCUCAACCCAGGAACUGCGUCCAAGACUGGGAGGCUUGAAUCCGGGAGAGGGAUGCGGAAUUCCAGGUGUAGCGGUGAAAUGCGCAGAUAUCGGGAGGAACACCAGUAGCGAAGGCGGCACUCUGGGCCGGUACUGACGCUGAGGAGCGAAAGCGUGGGGAGCGAACAGG
rnacentral:rRNA from 1 species